GACGAACGCUGGCGGCGUGCUUAACACAUGCAAGUCGAACGGAAAGGCCCUGCUUUUGUGGGGUGCUCGAGUGGCGAACGGGUGAGUAACACGCGAGUAACCUGCCCUUGACUUUGGGAUAACUUCAGGAAACUGGGGCUAAUACCGGAUAGGAGCUCCUGCUGCAUGGUGGGGGUUGGAAAGUUUCGGCGGUUGGGGAUGGACUCGCGGCUUAUCAGCUUGUUGGUGGGGUAGUGGCUUACCAAGGCUUUGACGGGUAGCCGGCCUGAGAGGGUGACCGGCGACAUGGGGACUGAGAUACGGCCCAGACGCCUACGGGAGGCAGCAGUGGGGAGUAUUGCACAAUGGGCGGAAGCCUGAUGCAGCGACGCCGCGUGCGGGAUGACGGCCUUCGGGUUAUAAACCGCUUUCGCCUGUGACGAAGCGUGAGUGACGGUAAUGGGUAAAGAAGCACCGGCUAACUACGUG
rnacentral:rRNA from 1 species